GAUGAACGCUGGCGGCGUGCCUAAUACAUGCAAGUCGAGCGAACAGACGAGGAGCUUGCUCCUCUGACGUUAGCGGCGGACGGGUGAGUAACACGUGGAUAACCUACCUAUAAGACUGGGAUAACUUCGGGAAACCGGAGCUAAUACCGGAUAAUAUAUUGAACCGCAUGGUUCAAUAGUGAAAGACGGUUUUGCUGUCACUUAUAGAUGGAUCCGCGCCGCAUUAGCUAGUUGGUAAGGUAACGGCUUACCAAGGCAACGAUGCGUAGCCGACCUGAGAGGGGGAUAGGCAACAGUGGAAGUGAGACACGGUCAAGACGAGUACGGGAGGGAGCAGUAGGGAAUCUGAGGCAAUGGUCGGAAGUAUGACGCAGCGAGACGGAGUGAGUGAUGAAGGUGUAGGGAUCGGAAAGAUCGGGUAUGGGGUAAGAACAAAUGUGGAAGGAAACAGGGCGGUAUUGACGGUAACUAAUAAAAAAGCAACGGCUAACUACGUG
rnacentral:rRNA from 1 species